ACUGAGAAACCAUGCACCAGGUUGCAACACCCAAGAGCAAGGAGCUGGGCCCAACCCCAUGGGACAGAAGCCAUAGCUGCAGGGGGAGUUUUUAGCUUUAUAUGUUGUUUUUCAUUUUACUUCAUAUUUGUAAAAAACACAGGAGUCUGGAAAUGAGACUGUUCGGAGACCGGGGAUUUUUAUACCCUUCAUUUUAAAAUGCUGACACAGAGGCCGGACAUAUGCUCACUCCCUGAACAGCUGCUUUGAAAUGGAUUCCACUGUCAUAUGGAAGGGCAUGCCAUCUCACAGUGGGGAUUUGCAGAAGCAAUGCCCUUAAGGAUAAUGUAAAUUUAUUUUACUCUUCUAAGGUGCAAUCUUGAAGACAAAUAUCCACGUGCUUACUUUUCCGGCUCUUGAGGAUGUGGUUUAUAGAUAAGCCUCUCAUCUACUGACACUAGAUUUGUAAAUGAAAUCUAUGGAAUAAAAUGAGUUAGAUUAUUAUCAUCACUUAAAUAAAAUAAUUUUUCAUUAAGAAGAUGCAAUAAAUACAACUAGAACAACCUAAGACCUCAACACUCAGAUAUCUGAUUUUAAACACCAUCCUUCAAUGUGGUAUUCUAAUUUAAUUAUUCUAAAAUUACAGCUGAAUACUAUUUCAUGAAACUAGUAUAAACAUACACAAAAGAAAUCAAUCCUAAAGUUCAAGCUUGCUAAACUACUUUUUCUUCUUAUGUCCUUCAGCAUAGACUGUCAAGAUCACAGAAGGAUUUUAACAAUGACCAUGUACAAAUGAUAUACAGUAAUGAGCAAAGUACUACACAUUAAGGUAGCAGCAAUACAACAAAAGAAUUUUUGAAACAAAGUGGGAUGCUUUGUAUUUGCUAAUCACUAAUCAUUUCUAGUGCAGGUGUUUCAUAACACAGCUGGAAAAAUAGUUCCUUUACUACAAUGAGCUAUGGGAGGUUGAGAAUCUGAGGGUCAACUACAGAGUGUUCCUGAACAUAUGUCUUUGUUCUGCAAGCACCGAUGAGCUACAAGAAAGACACCCAAGUUUAUACAUGCAAACACACUGCAAUAACUAUUCUGAAAAGUUUAAAGAUUUUCCUUUCAUUUCAACAUACUCUGGAAUAUCAAAGUAAACUUUACGAUACUGAAUAAAGAGUAAGAAAUGCGACUAGCCUUAAAA